rnacentral:rRNA from 1 species
UACGUAGGGUGCGAGCGUUGUCCGGAAUUAUUGGGCGUAAAGAGCUCGUAGGCGGUGUGUCACGUCGGCCGUGAAAACCUGCAGCUUAACUGUGGGCGUGCGGUCGAUACGGGCAUCACUGGAGUUCGGCAGGGGAGACUGGAAUUCCUGGUGGAGCGGUGAAAUGCGCAGAUAUCAGGAGGAACACCCGUAGCGAAGGCGGCACUCUGGGCCGAUACUGACACUGAGGAGCGAAAGCGUGGGGAGCGAACAGG